GAACUAGAAAAAGAACUAAGCCCAAAGUUAGCAGAAGGAAGGAAAUAACAAAGAUGAGAGCAGAAAUAAAUGAAAUAGAUACUAAAACAAUAGAAAAGAUCAAUGAAAUUUAACUUUUUCUAAAAAAGGUAAAAUUGACAAAAGUUUAGCUAGAUUAACUAAAAAAAAGAGAGAGGACUCAAAUAAGUAAAAUCAGAUGGGGCUGGCCCCGUGGCCGAGUGGUUAAGUCUGUGCGCUCCGCUGUAGGCGGCCCAGUGUUUCGUUGGUUCGAAUCCUGGGCACGGAUAUGGCACUGCUCAUCAAACCACGCUGAGGCAGUGUCCCACAUGCCACAACUAGAAGGACCCACAACGAAGAAUAUACAACUCUGUACCGGGGGCUUUUGGGAGAAAAAGGAAAAAAAUAAAAUCUUUUAAAAAAAAAAAAAAGAAAAACAUUUAUCAAAAGGACCUAGUUUUUUCCAGAAUUCUUUAAGAUCCUGGAGUUACAAAGAUACAUAAGUUAGAGAAGCUGACCUCAAGGAGAUCACAAUCAGUGGAAGAAAAUAAACAGAUAAUGUGGUAAGAUUUAGGACAGAGAAAUAAACGCAUUAGGACAGCAUAGAUGAGGGGAGCCGAAAGAUGAUAGACAGGGAAUAUUUCUUAGUGGAGAGACUUCCUGUGCUAAAUUUCGAAGAGUGAGUAGGAGUGAGCCAGAAGAGAUGAGAAGAUACAGGCAUUCCAGGCAGAAAGACAGGAUGCACAGGUUCAGAAAUAGGAAAAAACGUGACAUGUUCCAUGAAACAGAAUCAGUGUUUCUGGUACAUUAAAUGUAGGACAUGAUGUGGUGGAAGACAGUCUGUACCUUUAACUUCUAUGUCACACUGCUGCUUAAAGUGCCAGAGCAUGGGUGAGAGAUGAUGUGAGCCAGAGUCAAGGCAGUGAUGUCCUGAGAUGUAAAGUUAUGUUACUCCAGCUGUGGUUCUGGAACCCACAGCCCCAGCACCUCGUGCAGAAUCUCCCCUAUGCCACGAGCCCUGCUGAAUCAGAUUCUGCAUUUUAUCAAGAUUCCCAAGUGAUUUGUGUGCACCUUAACUUUGGAAGCAAAUUCAACUUAUUUAGCAAGACCAUUUUAUAAGCACUAUGUUAUUUAAUCAGGAAGCAUAUCAUUUCCUGUACUUUUUCUUUUAGUGACAUCAGAAACUAUUGAUUCCAUUAAUUUUUUAGGUUUUCAAGAUGUUAGUAUUCUAAUUCUAGCAUUUCUUCCCCUUUUGUUAGCUGAAACAUUUUAAAAAGAGAUACUUUCCUCAUUCACUAUUAGGUUAUCAUGAAAUGUAGAUCAUAACUGAUUAUUUCCCUUUAUUUAUUAUUUUCAGAAUAAUAAAUUGGUUCUCUAGCAUUCUCCAAAGGCGGUCAGUAAAAUGUUUAGUGAUAUUAUAUAUGUAUAUAUUUGACAUAUUCCAAUCCAUUGCCUUUAUUAUCUUUAUCCAUACUCAUAUUGUCAUAUGUUUGGUAAUGGGAGUGUCUUGAGGAUGUUGAAUUCUUCUGACAUGAAGCUAGUG
rnacentral:lncRNA from 1 species